CACCUCUCAGGGUCGCACCUGGAGAGUUUCCGGCACUAUACCAGUCUCGACUAUGGGAGGGAGAGUCAAGCAGAGGUCUACCCAUCCCAUUUCUAGCUUGGCCAGUGGCUAGCGAGUGGAAGGCAAUCUACCACAAGU